GACGAACGCUGGCGGCGUGCCUAAUACAUGCAAGUAGAACGCACAGUUUAUACCGUAGCUUGCUACACCAUAAACUGUGGGUUGCGAACGGGUGAGUAACGCGUAGGUAACCUGCCUGGUAGCGGGGGAUAACUAUUGGAAACGAUAGCUAAUACCGCAUAAUAUUGAUUAUUGCAUGAUAAUUGAUUGAAAGAUGCUAUUGCAUCACUACCAUCUGGACCUGCGUUGUAUUAGCUAGUAGGUGAGGUAACGGCUCACCUAGGCGACGAUACAUAGCCGACCUGAGAGGGGGAUCGGCCACACUGGGACUGAGACACGGCCCAGACUCCUACGGGAGGGAGCAGGAGGGAAUCUUCGGAAAUGGACGAAAGUCUGACCGAGCAACGCCGCGUGAGUGAAGAAGGGUUUCGGAUCGUAAAGCUCUGUUGUAAGAGAAGAACGGGUGUGAGAGUGGAAAGUUCACACUGUGACGGUAUCUUACCAGAAAGGGACGGCUAACUACGUG
rnacentral:rRNA from 1 species